GGAUCCAGACUUUGAUUCUGGCUCAGGAUGAACGCUAGCUACAGGCUCAACACAUGCAAGUCGAGGGGAAACGACAUCGAAAGCUUGCUUUUGAUGGGCGUCGACCGGCGCACGGGUGAGUAACGCGUAUCCAACCUGCCCACCACUUGGGGAUAACCUUGCGAAAGUAAGACUAAUACCCAAUGAUAUCUCUAGAAGACAUCUGAAAGAGAUUAAAGAUUUAUCGGUGAUGGAUGGGGAUGCGUCUGAUUAGCUUGUUGGCGGGGUAACGGCCCACCAAGGCAACGAUCAGUAGGGGUUCUGAGAGGAAGGUCCCCCACAUUGGAACUGAGACACGGUCCAAACUCCUACGGGAGGCAGCAGUGAGGAAUAUUGGUCAAUGGACGAGAGUCUGAACCAGCCAAGUAGCGUGCAAGAUGACGGCCCUAUGGGUUGUAAACUGCUUUUAUAAGGGAAUAAAGUGAGUCUCGUGAGACUUUUUGCAUGUACCUUAUGAAUAAGGACCGGCUAAUUCCGUGCCAGCAGCCGCGGUAAUACGGAAGGUCCGGGCGUUAUCCGGAUUUAUUGGGUUUAAAGGGAGCGUAGGCCGGAGAUUAAGCGUGUUGUGAAAUGUAGACGCUCAACGUCUGCACUGCAGCGCGAACUGGUUUCCUUGAGUACGCACAAGGUGGGCGGAAUUCGUGGUGUAGCGGUGAAAUGCUUAGAUAUCACGAAGAACUCCGAUUGCGAAGGCAGCUCACUGGAGCGCAACUGACGCUGAAGCUCGAAAGUGCGGGUAUCGAACAGGAUUAGAUACACUGGUAGUCCGCACGGUAAACGAUGGAUGCCCGCUGUUGGUCUGAAUAGGUCAGCGGCCAAGCGAAAGCAUUAAGCAUCCCACCUGGGGAGUACGCCGGCAACGGUGCAACUCAAAUGAAUUGACGG
rnacentral:rRNA from 1 species